CGGGGGGGAGGGGCGGCGAGGCGAGGCCUGCGGAGCGGAGGAAGACAAACAUAAAGAUGAAGUGCUUAAUUCAAGGUCACACAAUGUCGGGGAUGGACCUCCAGAUUUCCUUACUGACCUGCAUUAUCUUGUGGAUACCUGAGUGAAUUCCACACCACCCAUUUUAUAGAUGAAACCACUGAGACAUGGAGCAACUGACUGAGUAGUCACUGCCCCACCCCUGCCUGGAGCCUCACACAUGACUCGUCUCCUCUCAGUGACCACAGGUUGGUUGAGGGGUUUAACAAGGCUAAGAAGGUGAGACGUGGUCUUGUAACACAGUGGUUAAGAAUGUGACUUUGGAGCCAGCCUGCUAGGGGCUGAAUUCUGACUCAGCCAUUUACUAACUGUGUGACCUUAGGUGGAGUCUCACUCUGUAGCCCAAGCUGGAGUGGUGUGAUCUCGACUCACUGCAACCUCCGCCUCCUGGGCUCAAGUGAUUCUCGUGCCUCAGCCUCCUGAGUAGCUGGGACUACAGGUCACAGAAUUUUCCACACUCCUUGACGGAGGUGCUUAACCCUUAUCCAUCAGCAUUCUCAGACAGCACCUCCGGUUAGGGACAGUAUCUGACCGUCCGACAUCCCUGCAGCCCCCAUGUGUCACACAGACUCAGCCUCAGGUAGAUGGUUUCCGUAGAUGGUGGCUUUCUUUGGACCCUUGACAUCAACCAGUUACUAUUUGCUCAGCAAGGCCCACAUUUUCCCGGUGAAGCCACAGAACCACAGGGAGAAACCCAUGGACUUCGCCUCUCUCUCUAGGGGACCAGAUGUGCAGAGGUAAUGAAUACCAGGGAAUCAGGAAACCACUGGAUC
rnacentral:antisense_RNA from 1 species